AGUGAACGCUGGCGGUAGGCCUAACACAUGCAAGUCGAACGGCAGCACAGUAAGAGCUUGCUCUUACGGGUGGCGAGUGGCGGACGGGUGAGGAAUACAUCGGAAUCUACUUUUUCGUGGGGGAUAACGUAGGGAAACUUACGCUAAUACCGCAUACGACCUACGGGUGAAAGCAGGGGAUCUUCGGACCUUGCGCGAUUGAAUGAGCCGAUGUCGGAUUAGCUAGUUGGCGGGGUAAAGGCCCACCAAGGCGACGAUCCGUAGCUGGUCUGAGAGGAUGAUCAGCCACACUGGAACUGAGACACGGUCCAGACUCCUACGGGAGGCAGCAGUGGGGAAUAUUGGACAAUGGGCGCAAGCCUGAUCCAGCCAUACCGCGUGAGUGAAGAAGGCCUUCGGGUUGUAAAGCCCUUUUGUUGGGAAAGAAAAGCAGCAGGUUAAUACCCCGCGGUUCUGACGGUACCCAAAGAAUAAGCACCGGCUAACUUCGUG
rnacentral:rRNA from 1 species